rnacentral:rRNA from 1 species
GACGUAGGGCGCGAGCGUUGUCCGGAUUUAUUGGGCGUAAAGAGCUCGUAGGCGGCUUGUCGCGUCGGCUGUGAAAACCCGCGGCUCAACUGUGGGCGGGCAGCUGAUACGGGCAGGCUGGAGUUCGGUAGGGGAGACUGGAAUUCCUGGUGUAGCGGUGAAAUGCGUAGAUAUCAGGAGGAACACCAGUUGCGAAGGCGGCUGACUGGACCCAUAUUGACGCUGAGGCUCGAAAGCAUGGGGAGCAAACAGG